UCCACGGUGGUCCAGUGGCUAAGACUCUGUACUCCAAACGCAGGGGGCCCAGGUUUGAUCCCUGGUCAGGGAA
rfam:TPA: Bos taurus chromosome X, whole genome shotgun sequence.